UGCAAUUGAGUACUACUACUCCUAGGCGGCUUUUAACGACCUGGCGAAGCUAUGGUUUCAGUUGUCAACUGGUAUCUCAGCUAAGCGAAUGGUGUUUGCAGUCAUGAUAUUUUUUUUUAAAUUUUGACAUUGUAGGAUUUUUAUUUAAAAUUAGUAAUUAUUGUUCAAUUAUGAGCUAAUUAGGCUCAAAAGAUUCGUCUCAUAAAUUACAGACAAACUGUACGAUGAGUUAUUUUUUUUUAUAUAUUUAAUGCUAUAUGUAUGCGUUUAAAGAUUCGAUGUGAAAGUGAAUAUUGAAAAAUUUGAGAACUAAAGAAGAUCUUAACCACUAGUGAUGCUGAUUUUAUCACUUGUCGUCUGCGUGAUACACCUGUGCGCUCUCCCGAUCUUUGACCACGC
rnacentral:lncRNA from 1 species